rnacentral:rRNA from 1 species
UAUUGCACAAUGGGCGAAAGCCUGAUGCAGCAACGCCGCGUGCACGAUGAAGGCCUUCGGGUUGUAAAGUGCUUUUAUGAGGGAAGAGAAAGGACUGUACCUCAUGAAUAAGGAUCGGCUAACUACGUGCCAGCAGCCGCGGUAACACGUAGGAUCCGAGCGUUAUCCGGAUUUACUGGGCGUAAAGCGCGUGCAGGUGGUCUAUUAAGUUGGAUGUUAAAUCUCCCGGCUUAACUGGGAGUUGUCGUUCAAAACUGGUAGGCUAGAGGACGGUAGAGGAAGGUGGAAUUCCGGGUGUAGUGGUGAAAUGCGUAGAUAUCCGGAGGAACAUCAGUGGCGAAGGCGACCUUCUGGACCGCUCCUGACACUCCAACGCGAAAGCUAGGGGAGCAAACGG